rnacentral:rRNA from 1 species
AGUGAACGCUGGCGGUAGGCCUAACACAUGCAAGUCGAACGGCAGCACAGUAAGAGCUUGCUCUUACGGGUGGCGAGUGGCGGACGGGUGAGGAAUACAUCGGAAUCUACUUUUUCGUGGGGGAUAACGUAGGGAAACUUACGCUAAUACCGCAUACGACCUACGGGUGAAAGCAGGGGAUCUUCGGACCUUGCGCGAUUGAAUGAGCCGAUGUCGGAUUAGCUAGUUGGCGGGGUAAAGGCCCACCAAGGCGACGAUCCGUAGCUGGCCUGAGAGGAUGAUCAGCCACACUGGAACUGAGACACGGUCCAGACUCCAACGGGAGGCAGCAGUGGGGAAUAUUGGACAAUGGGCGCAAGCCUGAUCCAGCCAUACCGCGUGGGUGAAGAAGGCCUUCGGGUUGUAAAGCCCUUUUGUUGGGAAAGAAAAGCAGCAGGUUAAUACCCCGCUGUUCUGACGGUACCCAAAGAAUAAGCACCGGCUAACUUCGUG